GGGCCCCCGCCGGACUGCGGAGAGCGAGGCUGGGAGAGAGCGAGCGCGACGGCGGCGGCGGCGGAGAGAGGCUCUUUGUUGCCUCCCUACCCCGCCCCCUGCACCCCUCUGGGAUUCGGGCGGGCCACCACCCCCCCCUCCCGCCCAACACCUCCGGCCAGUUGUCGGCCGGGGUUCCUCGCCCGUGGUUGUCCUUGACCGUCGGCCCCCUCCCCGUCGCCUCCCGCUCCCCAGAGGCUUGGGGAGCUCCGAGGCCUCCCCCACGGCCACGGUGCGGAGACCGAGGCGCCGAGACCUCCUGGGCGCCAGACCCGUAGGCACCGGCGUGGGGAGCUUGGACGCGUGACUGGGCACAGGGCCGGGCCAGGAGACUCCGGGUCGGCUCGCGGCCGGGUGCCCUCGCGCGGGGCGAGUGCUCAGCCCGCCCUGUUGCGGUCUCAGGACGGGGAUGAGGGAAUCGGGGGGCAUCCCGGUCAGCCCAACUGCCCGCCCUCGCCGCGGCUGCGCCCAGCGAUUCCUGCGGAGUUGAGGAGGGGCAUAUAAAUGGAAAAUAUGGUCAUCAUUGUUCCCUUCGCUCCUUUUCUUCCCGAGGAAUCCCAGCGUGCUGCGCCGAUGGAACGAGUUGAUGUGCACACUAGGUAUAGGGAUGACUUCAUCCCCAAACGAACGCAGCCGACUCUCGGGGAAACGCAGUCGCCGGGAGACGCGCGCGGAACAGUGUGUUGCCGCAAGAGUGGAAGAAGAGAAACGCAGCCAGUGGAGCCGCUUUCCAGCGUCAUUAGCAAAGAGGGAAUCCCGGGCAGGGGGCGGGGAGAGAGAGGAACUAAUGAUAAUUUUAAAUUUUUCGUCAUUCCCAAUGGUCUUGAAGUCACCUCCCUUAAAAAGUAGAUAUAAAAUACUGGCGAGGCAAUUUCAUUUCAAGUCAAGUCGGGGAGGAGGGCAUCCAGGAAGCCAGAAUUGAUCGUUGUUGAAGGUUUUGUUUUCGGUUUUUUUUAAAUCUAAAAACAAAUCCAAUAAUAAAAUUUUUAACUGUACGAAU
rnacentral:lncRNA from 1 species